UACAGAGGGUGCAAGCGUUGUUCGGAAUUAUUGGGCGUAAAGGGAGUGUAGGCGGUCUGGUAAGUCUUCUGUGAAACCUACGGGCUUAGCCUGUAACGUGCAGAGGAAACUACCAGGCUUGAGUGUCGGAGAGGAUAGGGGAAUUCCCGGUGUAGAGGUGAAAUUCGUAGAGAUCGGGAGGAACACCAGUGGCGAAGGCGCCUAUCUGGCUGACAACUGACGCUGAGACUCGAAAGCAUGGGGAGCAAACAGG
rnacentral:rRNA from 1 species